AUUGAACGCUGGCGGCAUGCUUUACACAUGCAAGUCGAACGGCAGCGCGGGCUUCGGCCUGGCGGCGAGUGGCGAACGGGUGAGUAAUGCAUCGGAACGUGCCCAGUAGUGGGGGAUAGCCCGGCGAAAGCCGGAUUAAUACCGCAUACGACCUGAGGGUGAAAGCGGGGGACCGAAAGGCCUCGCGCUAUUGGAGCGGCCGAUGUCGGAUUAGCUAGUUGGUUGGGUAAAGGCUUACCAAGGCGACGAUCCGUAGCUGGUCUGAGAGGACGACCAGCCACACUGGGACUGAGACACGGCCCAGACUCCUACGGGAGGCAGCAGUGGGGAAUUUUGGACAAUGGGGGCAACCCUGAUCCAGCCAUGCCGCGUGCGGGAAGAAGGCCUUCGGGUUGUAAAGCGCUUUUGUUCGGGAAGAAAUCCUCUGGGCUAAUACCCCGGGGGGAUGACGGUACCGGAAGAAUAAGCACCGGCUAACUACGUG
rnacentral:rRNA from 1 species